rnacentral:lncRNA from 1 species
UGGGUGACAGAGGAUAGUACUAGACCAGGAAACAAUCAUGAACAUAAACACACUAUUACAGAAGGACAUAGUGGGGAUAGAAUCUGAAGAAUAGGACUGGGAACGAGUAGAGGAGAAUACCAGCAUACUUCAGCCACAGAGCAACAAGGGCUUUGUCUUCCCAGUACAUUUCUUCAGUGGAGCAAGACCUCACAGACCUCUACAUUAAUGGGAAAAUGCAAUGGACAGCCUUCAAUCAUACCCUUGGAAAGUCUCACCUGUCUGGAGGCUGCAUGGAGAGAAACACAAAUGGAUAGAGUAUUGUGCAACUGUUGCUGGAAUAAAAACAAGAAAGACAGAAUCCUAAGUCAAAGUUGAGCCAUG